AGAGUUUGAUCAUGGCUCAGAUUGAACGCUGGCGGCAGGCCUAACACAUGCAAGUCGAGCGGUAGCACAGAGAGCUUGCUCUCGGGUGACGAGCGGCGGACGGGUGAGUAAUGUCUGGGAAACUGCCUGAUGGAGGGGGAUAACUACUGGAAACGGUAGCUAAUACCGCAUAAUGUCGCAAGACCAAAGUGGGGGACCUUCGGGCCUCAUGCCAUCAGAUGUGCCCAGAUGGGAUUAGCUAGUAGGUGGGGUAACGGCUCACCUAGGCGACGAUCCCUAGCUGGUCUGAGAGGAUGACCAGCCACACUGGAACUGAGACACGGUCCAGACUCCUACGGGAGGCAGCAGUGGGGAAUAUUGCACAAUGGGCGCAAGCCUGAUGCAGCCAUGCCGCGUGUGUGAAGAAGGCCUUCGGGUUGUAAAGCACUUUCAGCGGGGAGGAAGGCGGUGAGGUUAAUAACCUCAUCGAUUGACGUUACCCGCAGAAGAAGCACCGGCUAACUCCGUGCCAGCAGCCGCGGUAAUACGGAGGGUGCAAGCGUUAAUCGGAAUUACUGGGCGUAAAGCGCACGCAGGCGGUCUGUCAAGUCGGAUGUGAAAUCCCCGGGCUCAACCUGGGAACUGCAUUCGAAACUGGCAGGCUAGAGUCUUGUAGAGGGGGGUAGAAUUCCAGGUGUAGCGGUGAAAUGCGUAGAGAUCUGGAGGAAUACCGGUGGCGAAGGCGGCCCCCUGGACAAAGACUGACGCUCAGGUGCGAAAGCGUGGGGAGCAAACAGGAUUAGAUACCCUGGUAGUCCACGCCGUAAACGAUGUCGAUUUGGAGGUUGUGCCCUUGAGGCGUGGCUUCCGGAGCUAACGCGUUAAAUCGACCGCCUGGGGAGUACGGCCGCAAGGUUAAAACUCAAAUGAAUUGACGGGGGCCCGCACAAGCGGUGGAGCAUGUGGUUUAAUUCGAUGCAACGCGAAGAACCUUACCUGGUCUUGACAUCCACAGAACUUUCCAGAGAUGGAUUGGUGCCUUCGGGAACUGUGAGACAGGUGCUGCAUGGCUGUCGUCAGCUCGUGUUGUGAAAUGUUGGGUUAAGUCCCGCAACGAGCGCAACCCUUAUCCUUUGUUGCCAGCGGUCAGGCCGGGAACUCAAAGGAGACUGCCAGUGAUAAACUGGAGGAAGGUGGGGAUGACGUCAAGUCAUCAUGGCCCUUACGACCAGGGCUACACACGUGCUACAAUGGCAUAUACAAAGAGAAGCGACCUCGCGAGAGCAAGCGGACCUCAUAAAGUAUGUCGUAGUCCGGAUUGGAGUCUGCAACUCGACUCCAUGAAGUCGGAAUCGCUAGUAAUCGUAGAUCAGAAUGCUACGGUGAAUACGUUCCCGGGCCUUGUACACACCGCCCGUCACACCAUGGGAGUGGGUUGCAAAAGAAGUAGGUAGCUUAACCUUCGGGAGGGCGCUUACCACUUUGUGAUUCAUGACUGGGGUGAAGUCGUAACAAGGUAACCGUAGGGGAACCUGCGGUUG
rnacentral:rRNA from 1 species